rnacentral:tRNA from 1 species
UGCAUCGGCCGGGAAUCGAACCUGAGCCGCCCGCGUAGCAGGCGAGCAUUCUACCACUGAACCACCGAUGG